AUUGAACGCUGGCGGAAUGCUUUACACAUGCAAGUCGAACGGCAGCACAGGGGCAACCCUGGUGGCGAGUGGCGAACGGGUGAGUAAUACAUCCGAACCUGCCCAGUCGUGGGGGAUCACGUAGCGUAAGUUACGCUAAUACCGCCUACGAUCUACGGAUGAAAGCGGGGGACCGUACGGCCUCGCGCGAUUGGAGCGGCCGAUGUCAGAUUAGAUAGUUGGUGAGGUAAAGGCUCACCAAGCCGACGAUCUGUAGCUGGUUUGAGAGGACGACCAGCCACACUGGGACUGAGACACGGCCCAGACUCCUACGGGAGGCAGCAGUGGGGAAUUUUGGACAAUGGGCGCAAGCCUGAUCCAGCCAUUCCGCGUGCAGGACGAAGGCCUUCGGGUUGUAAACUGCUUUUGUACGGAACGAAAAGGCUCUGGUUAAUACCUGGGGCUCAUGACGGUACCGUUAGAAUAAGCACCGGCUAACUACGUGCCAGCCGCCGCGGUAA
rnacentral:rRNA from 1 species